UACUACGGAUUGUCUCUGGGAAAACCAAGGCAUCACAACUGAUCUAACGACGAUUGAAAACAAAGCUGGACUCUUUUUUGCAGUGUCAUUGGAUUUGCCAUCAGGGCAAAGCCAGAAGAAAGAUGUCAAAUAGCCUGACCAACUCUGGAAGUUCUCCAGGAAUGAUGCAUCUAUUUGCUUGAAGAUGGAGCCAUCACCAAUUCAACACUGAACAAAAAAACCCACCAGUGAUGACAAGGAGGAAAAGACUCGGCAAGGAUCAAACAGGAGAACAUGAGCAUCACAACUAAUGGGUGGAGAAACACAAGCGAGGAUGUUAAAGAGUAAGGUGCGUCGUCCAAGUGAAUUCGACAGCAGAAGACGGGCCCACGGUAGAUGCCGGAGAGAAGAUGAAGAUGAGGAUCAAGAAGUAAAGAUAGUUACGACAAAUUACCCACUUUCGUCACCCAAGCAAGGAGGUUAAAGAGAGUGAGCUGGGACAUAAUGGAGCGAGGAAGAUGGAUGCAGCCACCCAAGAGAGGACUCGGCAGCUGAAGACCGCUGCUGGAGAACGGAGAGAAGAGGAAGAGGAGCAUCUGCCAAUGUAAGUGACGACAAAUGCGGAAGGCGACACCUGAAAAACAAGGGAUCUCUGGUAAUGAAGCCUCUCCUUGUCACAGGACAGAACCCACACCUAAAUCAACACUGAACAAAAUCAGGAACAUACAUGGGAGGAACAGGAGCAUCACAUCCCUACCACAGAUUGUCUCUGGGAAAACCAAGGCAUCGCAACUCACCAGAAGAAGCUGGAGCUAACGACGAUUGAGAACCAAUCUUUUUGCAUUGUCAUUGGAUUCACCAGAAGGGCAAAGCCAGAAGAAAGACGUCAAAUAGCCUGGCCAGCUCGGGGAGCACUCUGCUAGCAGGGCAGACUCUCCAGGAAUGAUGCAUCUUUCUGACUGAAGGUGGACCCAUCAUCAAUUUAUAACCGAAUAAAAGAAAAUACCAGUGAUGACGAGGAUGAAAAGACCCAUCCAGGACCAAACAGGAGAGUAUGAACAUCAUAACUGAAGCUGCAUGUUGAUGGGAAACACAAGCAAAGAUGUUAAAGAGAUCAAGGAGUGCCCCCCAAGAGAGGAUUUGGCAGCUGAAGACGGGCCCGCGGUGGAUGCCGGAUGUUGGACUUGCCCCAUGGUGGUUACCGGAGAGAAGAUGGAAAAGAGGAGUAAGUGGCAAAGACAGUUACAGCAAAUGACCCACUUUCGUCACCCAAGCAAGGACGUUAAAGAGUGAGCUGAGACCUCGGGGAGCGAGGAAGAUGGAUGCAGCCACCCAAGAGAGGACUCGGCAGCUGAAGACGGCUGCCGGAGGACGGAGAAAAGACAGAGAGGAGCAUCUGCCAAUGGUAGUGACGACAAAUGUGGAAGGCGACACCUGAAAAACAAGGGAUCUCUGGUAAUGAAGCCUCUCCUUGUCACAGGACAGAACCCACACCUAAAUCAACACUGGACAAAAUGAGGAACAUACAUGGGAGGAACAGGAGCAUCAGAUUGUCUCUGGGAAAACCAAGGCAUCGCAACUCACCAGAAGUAGCUGGAGCUAACGACGAUUGAGAACCAAGAUUAACUCAUUUUUGCAUUGUCAUUGGAUUCACCAGAAGGGCAAAGCCCAAAGAAAGAUUUCAAAAAGCCCGACCAGCCCGGGGAGGACUCUGCUAGCAAGGCAGAAUCUUCAGGAGUUAUGCAUCUUUUUGACUGAAGAUAGACCCAUCACCAAUUUAACAUGGA